rnacentral:rRNA from 1 species
UACGUAGGGUCCGAGCGUUGUCCGGAAUUAUUGGGCGUAAAGGGCUCGUAGGCGGUCCGUCACGUCGGGAGUGAAAACUCAGGGCUCAACCCUGAGCCUGCUUCUGAUACGGGCAGACUAGAGGUAUGCAGGGGAGAACGGAAUUCCUGGUGUAGCGGUGAAAUGCGCAGAUAUCAGGAGGAACACCGGUGGCGAAGGCGGUUCUCUGGGCAUUACCUGACGCUGAGACGCGAAAGCGUGGGGAGCGAACAGG